UUCGGCUGCCAUAGCGUAGGGGGUCCACCCGUACCCAUUCCGAACACGGAAGUUAAGCCUUACAGCGCCGAUGGUACUGCACUUGAGAGGGUGUGGGAGAGUAGGACGCCGCCGGAU
rnacentral:rRNA from 1 species